UUGUUAAUGAUGAAAUUCUACUCAGCUCACUCUGAAAGUAAUGAAGAAAAACGUUUAGUUUCCAACAUUCAUCAAUUUCCUGACUACAA
rnacentral:snoRNA from 1 species